UUGAACCUUGGGCCUGGCUGGCCGGUCCGCCUCACCGCGUGUACUGGUCCGGCCGGGCCUUUCCCUCUGUGGAACCCCAUGCCCUUCACUGGGCGUGGCGGGGAAACAGGACUUUUACUGUGAAAAAAUUAGAGUGCUCCAGGCAGGCCUAUGCUCGAAUACAUUAGCAUGGAAUAAUAGAAUAGGACGUGUGGUUCUAUUUUGUUGGUUUCUAGGACCGCCGUAAUGAUUAAUAGGGACAGUCGGGGGCAUCAGUAUUCAAUUGUCAGAGGUGAAAUUCUUGGAUUUAUUGAAGACUAACUACUGCGAAAGCAUUUGCCAAGGAUGUUUUCAUUAAUCAGGAACGAAAGUUAGGGGAUCGAAGACGAUCAGAUACCGUCGUAGUCUUAACCAUAAACUAUGCCGACUAGGGAUCGGACGGUGUUAUUUUUUGACCCGUUCGGCACCUUACGAGAAAUCAAAGUGCUUGGGCUCCAGGGGGAGUAUGGUCGCAAGGCUGAAACUUAAAGAAAUUGACGGAAGGGCACCACCAGGGGUGGAGCCUGCGGCUUAAUUUGACUCAACACGGGGAAACUCACCAGGUCCAGACACAAUAAGGAUU
rnacentral:rRNA from 3 species